GACGUAGGUGGCGAACGUUAUCCGGAAUUAUUGGGCGUAAAGGGUGCGUAGGCGGCAUGAUAAGUUAUUGGCGGCAAAUCGAGGCUCAACCUCGUGGAAACUGAUAAUACUGUCUUGCUUGAGUGCAGAAGAGGUUAACGGAACUCCAUGUGGAGCGGUAAAAUGUGUAGGUAUAUGGAAGAACAUCAAUAACGGCGAAGGCAGUUAACUAUUCUGUUACUGACGUUGAGGCACGAAAGCGUGGGGAGCAAAAAGG
rnacentral:rRNA from 1 species